ACAGCACAUUUUAGUCUCUGGCUGGUUGAUGAACUCACAAGUGUAGAUGGUGUGCUACAUGAGGGGCAAGUCUUUUGCCAACAUCACAAGGGUCUCUGGUUCAAUGAGUGGUGUUUGACACUAAUUCUUGCUAUAACA
rnacentral:snoRNA from 2 species